rnacentral:rRNA from 1 species
UACGGAGGGUGCGAGCGUUGUCCGGAAUCAUUGGGCGUAAAGGGCGCGUAGGUGGCCCAGUAAGCGUGCGGUGAAAGCUCGGGGCUCAACCCCGAGUCGGCCGUGCGAACUACUGGGCUGGAGCACUGUAGAGGCAGGCGGAAUUCCGGGUGUAGCGGUGGAAUGCGUAGAGAUCCGGAAGAACACCAGUGGCGAAGGCGGCCGACUGGGCCGAAACUGACGCUGAGGAGCGAAAGCGUGGGGAGCGAACAGG